CUAUGGGUUGUAAACCUCUUUUUUCAGGGAGGAAUAAAAUGACGUGUACCUGAAGAAUAAGCAUCGGCUAACUCCGUGCCAGCAGCCGCGGUAAGACGGAGGAUGCAAGUGUUAUCCGGAAUCACUGGGCGUAAAGCGUCUGUAGGUGGUUUAAUAAGUCAACUGUUAAAUCUUGAGGCUCAACUUCAAAACUGCAGUCGAAACUAUUAGACUAGAGUAUAGUAGAGGUAAAGGGAAUUUCCAGUGGAGCGGUGAAAUGCGUAGAGAUUGGAAAGAACACCGAUGGCGAAAGCACUUUACUGGGCUAUUACUAACACUCAGAGACGAAAGCUAGGGUAGCAAAUGGGAUUAGAUACCCCAGUAGUCCUAGCUGUAAACAAUGGAUACUAGAUGUUGAACAGAUCGACCUGUGCAGUAUCAAAGCUAACGCGUUA
rnacentral:rRNA from 1 species